rnacentral:rRNA from 1 species
GUUUUGAUUCAGGGUCAGAACGAACGCUGGCGGCAUGCCUAACACAUGCAAGCUCGAACGAGACCUUCGGGUCUAGUGGCGCACGGGUGCGUAACGCGUGGGAAUCUGCCCUUGGGUUCGGAAUAACACUUGGAAAUGAGAGCUAAUACCGGAUGAUGACGAAAGUCCAAAGAUUUAUCGCCCAGGGAUGAGCCCGCGUAGGAUUAGCUAGUUGGUGAGGUAAAGGCUCACCAAGGCGACGAUCCUUAGCUGGUCUGAGAGGAUGAUCAGCCACACUGGGACUGAGACACGGCCCAGACUCCUACGGGAGGCAGCAGUGGGGAAUAUUGGACAAUGGGCGAAAGCCUGAUCCAGCAAUGCCGCGUGAGUGAUGAAGGCCUUAGGGUUGUAAAGCUCUUUUACCCGGGAUGAUAAUGACUGUACCGGGAGAAUAAGCCCCGGCUAACUCCGUGCCAGCAGCCGCGGUAAU